rnacentral:rRNA from 1 species
AUGACCCGGUCGUUUUUUUUUUUUUUUUGCGAAACAGUGCUCCUAUUUUUUCCGACCAAUCCCGCGGUCCUCCGCUCCCGACACAAACUACGUGGCUCGCCAUUCUUGCUCGCCUGCUCGCCGUCUUGGCUCUCCGGCGCUGCCCCCCGCCGCCUUCCUCGCCCCCCCGCCCCAUGCCGCCUUCCUCCCCCGAAUCACGCUCCGAUGCUGCCGGCUCGUCCCCCUCCUUGUUUCCCACCGUCUCAAGCUUCAAUUUUUGCCACAUCGCCGGUGGUUGAUCUGCGGGCAGGAUUGCGGGCGGCGGCCUGGAGCGGCAGUACGCAAGCUCUGACUCCAUCCCAAGCCAGCCGGCACACCCGCCGAGGAGCUCUGCCAGCCGCUGCCCUAGCGCCCGCGGCCGUCAACGCGUGGUCGGGCGCCGCGUCGAUGUUGUCGCUGCUCGGCGCCGCCGUCGCCGACUCAUGGCUCGGGCGGUACCGCACCAUCGCCGCCUCCUCCGUACUCUACAUCACGUGGCACAAAGCCGAGCUACCUUGGCGUGCAGAAGAGGCCCCCCACCCUUGCCUUGUGCCCGACAACCAACAACUGCGUGCCGACGUCCGAGAGGAUAAGCAAUUCCAAUCACUACGCUCACCCAUGAAGAAGAAAGGUAAAUUUCAGCAUUCUAGAUUGCUUGCUAGGGGAGCUACCUCUGCUGCUGGGAGACUGGUUGCUGAAAAUGGGACUCUGAAGGCUAUUUGGCCUCACAGUGGCCACGACCGCCCCACAGAGGAGAAGUUCCAGGAGUUUAAAAGCUUCCUCAAUGACAACUUGGUUGAUAUCACUGAUGUUAAGAUGAGCCCAGCAGAGGAGGAUGAGGAAUUCUGGGGCAGCCUCAAAAGGAUCGGUUCGGAGAACGACAAAUCUGAAGAUGGCCCUGCUGCACCUGAAGAAACUGGCUCUCUUCAGACAACUCAAGUCGUUCAAACAACAUCUACAGAAACAGAAAAACGCGAGCAACCAGUGGUGGCGCGCGAGAAGAUCCUUCAGAGGAGAUGGUUGUAG